UAGAGAGCCUCCCUGGGAAGGUGCUAAUUGGGAGAAGUUCCAAGCAGUGAGAGACCAGUGCAGAAGCUUCGGGAGGGAGCCUCCUGCUAGGUUUGAGAAGCUACAAGAACCCUGGAGAGGUUUGACACACUCCAUGGAGACACAGAAGAUCAGAGACCUUCCAGAGGCCAGACCAGCUCUACAGGAUCCUAUGGCAAGGUCUGAAACAUGGCUCAAGGUGCCAGAGACUACCUGCCUUCCUCUGGGUGUUCUCAGAAGGUCAGAUUGCUAGUGUCCUGAACCCUGCAGGAAUGUUGUUCAGUGCAUCCCAACAGGAGAUGAUGAGCUGAGGAUCUUACUGAGAACUGGAUACUGGAACUCAGGCUUAGGAUUCCAGCACAGUUGGGUCCUGGGCCUCAAGAGCUCCUCUUAUGCAGCCCCUCCCUGCAAGGUGAUGGGACAUGUGGUGUGUGCCCCUCAGGGGGAAACUCAGCAUCUGUUCAGGAUCUGCCUGAGGAGUUAUGAAAGAUGUGUUUGG
rnacentral:lncRNA from 12 species